GACGAACGCUGGCGGCGUGCUUAACACAUGCAAGUCGAACGCUGAAGCUUGGUGCUUGCACUGGGUGGAUGAGUGGCGAACGGGUGAGUAAUACGUGAGUAACCUGCCCUUGACUCUGGGAUAAGCCUGGGAAACUGGGUCUAAUACUGGAUACGACAUGCCACUGCAUGGUGGUGUGUGGAAAGGGUUUUACUGGUUUUGGAUGGGCUCACGGCCUAUCAGCUUGUUGGUGGGGUAAUGGCCUACCAAGGCGACGACGGGUAGCCGGCCUGAGAGGGUGACCGGCCACACUGGGACUGAGACACGGCCCAGACUCCUACGGGAGGCAGCAGUGGGGAAUAUUGCACAAUGGGCGGAAGCCUGAUGCAGCGACGCCACGUGAGGGAUGACGGCCUUCGGGUUGUAAACCUCUUUCAGCACGGAAGAAGCGAGAGUGACGGUACGUGCAGAAGAAGCGCCGGCUAACUACGUG
rnacentral:rRNA from 1 species